GGAACCAGGAAAUACAAGCUGAGCCUGCCCGGAGAGCUCGGGAUCGGCGGGGAAGGAGGGAGCGACAUGGGCAACCUGUGCGGCUGCGGCUGGCGCUGGAAGUGUCCUUCACCUUUCAAGAGGAAGAAGGAGAAGCAAGGAGCUAAUGUGAGGCAUGAGGCUCAACAGCAGCAGCCUGGCAGGAAGGUAAACAGCUGCCCAGAGGGUUUUCCCUGAGUCCCUGAGCGUGUGUGGAGGAGACAGAGCUGCCCUGAGCUCCGUGGGCCAGGAGGGCACGGGGCAGGAUCCAGAGCCAAGAAUCCUCUCCUGCUGGGCAGCCUCUAACCUGGGCACGGUGCCCGUGGCUUUUCCCACAUUUUUUGCCCCCUGCCUAUAGGAAUGUGUCCCCUGUGGAGGGAGUGACCAAAUUAUUCUUUGUCUGCUUAAAAAGGCAAAAA